CAUACAAUCGUAAAGUAGCCGGCAGGAAAUCUUGUACAUCGACCUUUAGAAAGGGAUUUCGGCUUCGUAGACCGUUGUCUCUGUCACUCAUAUCCAUGUGAUGUUUUGUCGAUCUCAACGACCGCGACAGAUCAAACAACACUCUACAAAAUCGCUA